rnacentral:rRNA from 1 species
UACGUAGGGCGCAAGCGUUGUCCGGAUUUACUGGGCGUAAAGGGUGCGCAGGCGGACUGGCAAGUCAGGGGUGAAAUCUCACAGCUCAACUGUGAAACUGCCUUUGAUACUGCUGGUCUUGAGUCAGGGAGAGGUGAGUGGAAUUCCUAGUGUAGAGGUGAAAUUCGUAGAUAUUAGGAAGAACACCAGUGGCGAAGGCGGCUCACUGGCCCGGUACUGACGCUCAUGUGCGAAAGCGUGGGGAGCAAACAGG